GACGAGCGGCGGACGGGUGAGUAAUGCUUGGGAAUAUGCCUUAUGGUGGGGGACAACAGUUGGAAACGACUGCUAAUACCGCAUAACGUCUACGGACCAAAGGAGGGGACUUUUCGGAGCCUUUCGCCAUUUGAUUAGCCCAAGUGAGAUUAGCUAGUAGGUGAGGUAAGAGCUCACCUAGGCGACGAUCUCUAGCUGGUUUGAGAGGAUGAUCAGCCACACUGGGACUGAGACACGGCCCAGACUCCUACGGGAGGCAGCAG
rnacentral:rRNA from 1 species